CCUACGGGUGGCUGCAGUGGGGAAUAUUGGACAAUGGGGGGAACCCUGAUCCAGCCAUGCCGCGUGUGUGAAGAAGGCCCUCGGGUUGUAAAGCACUUUCAGUGAGGAAGAACGCCUGGUGGUUAAUACCCAUCAGGAAAGACAUCACUCACAGAAGAAGCACCGGCUAACUCCGUGCCAGCAGCCGCGGUAAUACGGAGGGUGCGAGCGUUAAUCGGAAUUACUGGGCGUAAAGCGCGCGUAGGUGGCUUGAUAAGCCGGUUGUGAAAGCCCCGGGCUCAACCUGGGAACGGCAUCCGGAACUGUCAAGCUAGAGUGCAGGAGAGGAAGGUAGAAUUCCCGGUGUAGCGGUGAAAUGCGUAGAGAUCGGGAGGAAUACCAGUGGCGAAGGCGGCCUUCUGGACUGACACUGACACUGAGGUGCAAAAGCGUGGGUAGCAAACAGGAUUAGAUACCCCUGUAGUC
rnacentral:rRNA from 1 species